UGGGGAAUAUUGCACAAUGGGGGAAACCCUGAUGCAGCGACGCCGCGUGAAGGAAGAAGUAUUUCGGUAUGUAAACUUCUAUCAGCAGGGAAGAAGAUGACGGUACCUGAGUAAGAAGCACCGGCUAAAUACGUGCCAGCAGCCGCGGUAAUACGUAUGGUGCAAGCGUUAUCCGGAUUUACUGGGUGUAAAGGGAGCGUAGACGGAUAGGCAAGUCUGGAGUGAAAACCCAGGGCUCAACCCUGGGACUGCUUUGGAAACUGCAGGUCUGGAGUGCCGGAGAGGUAAGCGGAAUUCCUAGUGUAGCGGUGAAAUGCGUAGAUAUUAGGAGGAACACCAGUGGCGAAGGCGGCUUACUGGACGGUGACUGACGUUGAGGCUCGAAAGCGUGGGGAGCAAACA
rnacentral:rRNA from 1 species